rnacentral:lncRNA from 1 species
CAUUAUAUGACUCAUAAUGGAUAAAACCAUGUCAUGUACUUGCCUUUUAGAAAAUGCUAUUCAUUAUAAUCUAUUAAUUAAAGAGCAUUUAAAAACCUAUAAAUUAUCCAUCAGUAAGACAGGGAAAAUAAUUGAUGAUUUCUGGCAGUCAACUUAUAGGAGAUGUUUAUAUUACAGUCUUAGACUUUAUACUGUACCUGUGUGCCAUUUAAUCAAAUUGCAACCAUGUUUUUGCUCUCUUAGAGAUUUAUUACAUAAAAGCAAUGAGCAAGUCAAUUGCAAAUGUAGCCUGGAUUUAAGCACAUAUCUCAUGCUAUUCCUCUUUCUUUCACUUUGAUUACAAGAAAUAUGUUCAAAAGAGAGGGGCACUAUGGAUAGCCUCUUGUCUGGGGUCCUUUGUCAGAUAUGAUAUUAUUGGAAAAAUAAUUUUAUCAGCCCUUCCAUAUAUACUUAUGUACAGAAGAUACGUAGAAGAUAUCUUUAUUAUACGGAAAACAAAACCAGAUAUAAAUGGUUCCGUACAACAAAUGAACUGUAUUAAAUUAGACCAUACCAGCAACUAAAUGGUACAUUUUUUGGAUCUUAAAAUCAACAUUAGAAAUGAACAUAUCCACCCAAAUGUAUAUUACAAACCAUCACACCCACCAUUGUUUAUAUCUACAAGCUCCAAUGACCUCCUAUGUCUACAAAAUAGCUGUUUUUAGAGUUCUGACCAAAAGACCCUUUACCCAUGUAUAGAUUUCACUGAAAUGGCAAAUGACUACAACAGUUUGAAUAUAUUGCUAUAAAACAAGUUACUAUAGAAACCUUAUCCAGAAUUUGGUUCAAACAUUCUCUGGUAGUAGUGUUCAAGGCUCAUAUGCUAACAAUGUGAUACCAGAUAAAACUAUAAGAAUUCAAACAAUAUACUUAUUUGUGUUGUUAUCUUUCUUCAUUAUAACCAUAGCAUGCUAUUCGUAUACAAAUAAAUAAUCCAUCUAAAUGAAGCUAAAUUAAUGUACAAGUGUGAUCCAAUCAUCUAUAUUAUCAUCAGAAAUUGAAAAGACAAUGUUAACAUGCUUAGGAUACCAAGGAUACACAAUUCCUUUGAGACAACUGAUUCUGUUAUUAUCUGAAAUACAUUGGUUCCACCACACAACACAGUUUUAAGUGACCUUGCUUAUAUCUAAAUUAACUAACAGUUCUAGAAAUAAAAAUCAGAAAGAGAUCCAGGUAAUGUAAUGGAUACCUGGUAAUCAGGAGUUGUGGGUUUGAGUCUCAUUCUGGACAAUUCUUUUCUUUCAGAAUAUUCUAAAUUUCCAAUUAAUUUAAUUCUAAUUAUUAAAUUUAUUGGGAGAUCAGCUGAACCACUUAAUAUAAAUACUACUACUUAUUUUAUUAGAAAUUAUUUUUUAUUCUGUGUCAUCUAGGUGAUUUUAUUACGUUUAUCUGAAUACAUUUUCUUUUUAGCGAAGUUAACAAAUAUUUUGCCAAAUCCGAGACCAAAGAAUUUGUUAAAAAGAAACUUUCCCUUAAAAAAUGCAAUUAAAAUACUCGAAAUAUUACAUCUAUGACGUAAAACUCGUGACGUAACGCGUGACGCAUUGCAACGACAAAUUCGAAUUCGUUCCAUUUCGUAUUGUUGCCGACGCCAUCUUGGAAUAGAAUGUUUUCCGGAAAUUGCGAGUUAUUUUUCCCUCCAUUUUAACAUUUUUCGUACGAAUUUUAAUAACGAAAGCUUGCGUAACGAGGAAGUAUCAUUCUCAAAUGUUAUAAUCCAUUUUCCAAAGAGACACGGAAUCAUUUUGGAAACUUCUUGUGCUCAAAAAGUUUACAAAAAGCAAAACAACAGAAAGCUUUAACUGAUUGUGAGCAGUUAUAGCCAGAAGUUAUGUAACAUCAUAUAGGCUUUUGCUGUAUCAUGAGAGCAGCUAUGUAUGACAAUUACUUCAUGGAUAAUGAACUCAAAGGUUAUCUGCUCCACAGAUAAAAACUUUUUAAUAUUUCUACUCUACGAUACCUGUAACUGAUGAUGGGGAUAGUCCUUUAGAGAAUGUUGAUAUUGAACUUUGUCAUUGCAAUCCUUUAACAAACAUUUCCAUUAUGGAAAAAAGCAUACAACAUUUUCUUCUAUAAAUGGUCAGUGAACUAUACUUUUUCAUUCCUAGGACCAUUUUAAUUUUUGUAAAAACUGAAAUUCAGAGUUUGAUUUAGUCUUGAUUUUUAUUUUGGACUAAUCAUCCCUAUGUUAAUUAAGCACAAUAAAAUUAAGGUUUAAAUUUUCUUUAUCAUAUUUAACGUAAUAGUAAAAACAGAUUAUUAAUUAUGAAUUAUUGUAAACUUAUAUUUUAAAUAAAUAAAGAAUUAUUUUGUUUAAAUUUUCAUACUAUAUUUCAUUAUGUCUGUAAGGAAUUAAUACUUGUAAUUUUAUGUGAUUGCUAUGAUAACAAAUUAUUUAAACUUAUUUUUUAUUGCAUUUUUGGAAUCCUUUCAUUUUUG